UACGGAGGGGACUAGCGUUGUUCGGAAUUACUGGGCGUAAAGCGCACGUAGGCGGAUUUGUAAGUCAGGGGUGAAAUCCCCGGGGCUCAACCUCGGAACUGCCUUUGAUACUGCAAAUCUCGAGUCCGGAAGAGGUGAGUGGAAUUCCUAGUGUAGAGGUGAAAUUCGUAGAUAUUCGCAAGAACACCAGUGGCGAAGGCGGCUCACUGGCCCGGAACUGACGCUGAGGUGCGAAAGCGUGGGGAGCAAACAGG
rnacentral:rRNA from 1 species